GGAGUCGUUUCGUCGUUGACUGGUCGUUCUUUACUGCCUUUGGAAGGCAGAUGUCAGGAGUUCGAAUCUCCUAGGCUCCA
rnacentral:tRNA from 1 species